GCAAGUCGAGCGGAAACGAGAAUAGCUUGCUAUUCGGCGUCGAGCGGCGGACGGGUGAGUAAUGCUUGGGAAUAUGCCUUAUGGUGGGGGACAACAGUUGGAAACGACUGCUAAUACCGCAUAACGUCUACGGACCAAAGGGGGGGAUCUUCGGACCUCUCGCGUCAAGAUUAGCCCAGGUGGGAUUAGCUAGUUGGUGGGGUAAUGGCUCACCAAGGCGACGAUCCCUAGCUGGUUUGAGAGGAUGAUC
rnacentral:rRNA from 1 species